GGAAAAAAAAAGAUGAAAUAUCGAAUUCCAACAUGUGCAAAAAGGCGUAGGGGGAUUAGCUCAAAUGGUAGAGCGCGCGCUUUGCAUGCGCGAGGUAGCGGGAUCGAUGCCCGCAUCCUCCAUCAGCAUGUCGUAGCCGCCGACAUGUUACCUUUGAAAGUAGUUCGAAAAUGGCGGUAGGGAAAAAUCAAAUCAAAUAUGUUAAAUACCCCAA
rnacentral:tRNA from 1 species